rnacentral:rRNA from 1 species
UACGAAGGGGGCUAGCGUUGUUCGGAAUCACUGGGCGUAAAGCGCGCGUAGGCGGAUUGGUAAGUUAGGGGUGAAAUCCCGGGGCUCAACCUCGGAACUGCCUUUGAUACUGCCAGUCUAGAGUCCGGGAGAGGUGAGUGGAAUUCCUAGUGUAGAGGUGAAAUUCGUAGAUAUUAGGAAGAACACCAGUGGCGAAGGCGGCUCACUGGCCCGGUACUGACGCUCAUGUGCGAAAGCGUGGGGAGCAAACAGG